GAUGAACGCUGGCGGCGUGCUUAACACAUGCAAGUCGAACGAGAAGUGAAGACGGAAACCUUCGGGCGGAAGGCUUUAUUUCGAGUGGCGGACGGGUGAGUAACGCGUGGGUAACCUGCCUCAUACAGGGGGAUAACAGUUGGAAACGACUGUUAAUACCGCAUAAGACCACAGCACCGCAUGGUGCGGGGGUAAAAACUCCGGUGGUAUGAGAUGGACCCGCGUUCGAUUAGCCAGUUGGCGGGGUAACGGCCUACCAACGCGACGAUCGAUAGCCGAUCUGAGAGGAUGACCGGCCACAUUGGGAAUGAGACACGGCCCAAACUCCUACGGGAGGCAGCAGUGGGGAAUAUUGCACAAUGGGGGAAACCCUGAUGCAGCGACGCCGCGUGAGUGAAGAAGUAUUUCGGUAUGUAAAGCUCUAUCAGCAGGGAAGAAAAUGACGGUACCUGAGUAAGAAGCCCCGGCUAACUACGUG
rnacentral:rRNA from 1 species